rnacentral:rRNA from 1 species
AUGGCGGAGAUGAUGGAAGUGAUCAAGAAAGAGCAGGAAGAAGAUGGUACGGCUCAGCGCCAGGGCCUGGAAGAGGGAGGCGCCAAGAAGAUCGGCGGCGGCGGCCACGAGGAGGAGCCGUCCCCGUCCGGGAAGGUGAAGAAGAAGGCGAGGAAGCAGGGCGUCUCCGACCCACAACGGAAGCGUGCCUGCGUGGACUGCACGAGGCGAUGCUCCCGAGUUCACGGCCGCGCCGCCGCUUCCUCCUCCGGCAAGGCUCCCCCGGCCCCGGCCGCCGCCCUGACGUCCUUCUUCAAGGUCAUGACGGGCUCCUUCUCCGAAAAACUGGACGUACCGCCCCGAUUUGCCAAGAACAUCCCGGAGCUGGCGGACACCAACGUCUACCUCGAAGACGCCUUCGGGCUCCGCUGGCGGGUGUACCUGUGCGCGCGCGACGGCCGCCUGUCCUUCGGGCACGGAUGGAGGAACUUUGUGCUGGACCACACCGUCGCCGUCGGCGAGUUCCUGGUGUUCCGGCACAUCUCCAGGUCAGUCUUCGCCGUCCAGAUCUUCGCUAAGUCCGCAUGUGAAAGGCUGCAUCUGUGCGAGAAGAACAAGAGGCAGAGCAAGAAGAGGAAGAAGCCCGGGGAGAAGGCGAGCUCCGACGGCGAUCGCACGGCGAAAGCAAGCAAGAAGAGCAGCGAGGAUAAAGAUAAGAAAAGCAGUAAAAAGAAGCAGCGUGCUUGUGAUCUGUUAGAUGGUGAUCAGGAUAGAGCUCGCGGAGAUCAAGAUCAAGAUCAAGAUCACAUGGUGCUGAUAAGCACAGCAAACACUCAAGCUGCGAACUGUGGGGGCUCUGACUUUGGGACUUAUGCAGAACCGACAACACCUUUGGCCAUGAUGGAUCUCGACGAUGAGAUCACCGACGACAUAUUUCUGACAGCCGAUGCAUACGAAUUCGAAACUGAUCUCUGUAUUCCAGAAGAACCAGGAGCAUUUCCUGUGGACAAUGGUAUUGGUAUGGAAGCGCCCGUUACCCACGGCGAAACCUCCGGUUUCAGCUGCGCCGAGAUGAUCGGCUCUCGGAACUGUGACUCUUCCGUGGGAGUUGGCCUCUGUCAUGGAGAGAAAUCAGCAGGCCUGAAAAAUAAACAGAUGGCUGAUGCACGGGUAAUAACAAGCACAUAUACUAAUGCUCCAGUGCUUGACAUGGACAUGACGGCCUUGCCCAGCAACGCGUUGUCAGAAAUUAGAGAGGAAAAGCCCUCUCCUCGUAUUGAUGCAGCAGCGCCUUCCAGUGAGUGCGCAACCGGCAAUUGCAAGAAGGAUACAGAUUAUAAGUUGAUGGAGUUCCCUUCCGAGGGCAACCAGGUUGACACGAAAGAAGCAAUUGUUCUAGUAGAAGAUUCGUCCGCGGAGCAAGACGAGGACCUGCAGAUUCAAGAAUGUACAGGAUGGGCUGCUGCAGAGAUUAUUUCUGGUGGCUCAAAGCCUGGUGAACGUGGCGAGCGCAGGCAAAAACGCCGUAUGCAACCUGCAGGGAACCAUGAGAGCGCGAGUCCGAGGCCAAGCAGCAGAAAGCUCCGCGUCGCGGCGCCCCCGGCUGACCAAACGUGGCUGGAGCUCCCUUGCCGGAUGCCGGUGCUGCCGGGGAGGAAGAAGCAGGGGCGGAAGGUGGUGGUGCUGGAGGACCCUGGCGGGCGGCACUGGCCGGCGCUCUACCUGUGCACCCCGACCUUCAGUGGCUUCGUGGCCGGGUGGGCCGACGUGCGCGCGGAGAACGGCCUGCGGGAGGGCGACGCCUGCGAGCUCGAGCUCCGCCGCGGCAGCUACUCCGAGCUGGCGCUCCGAGUGCUGGGCGCGCCCGGUUCUACUUCUCAGUAG